CCUACGGGUGGCAGCAGUCGAGAAUCAUUCACAAUGGGGGAAACCCUGAUGGUGCGACGCCGCGUGGGGGAAUGAAGGUCUUCGGAUUGUAAACCUCUUUUGCCGGGGAGCAACGGGCGUCACGUGUGGCGCCACUGAGAGUACCCGGAGAAAAAGCAUCGGCUAACUCCGUGCCAGCAGCCGCGGUAAUACGGAGGAUGCGAGCGUUAUCCGGAUUUAUUGGGUUUAAAGGGUGCGUAGGCGGAUCGUUAAGUCAGUGGUCAAAUUGAGGGGCUCAACCCCUUCCCGCCAUUGAAACUGGCGCUCUUGAGUGGAAGAGAAGUAUGCGGAAUGCGUGGUGUAGCGGUGAAAUGCAUAGAUAUCACGCAGAACCCCGAUUGCGAAGGCAGCAUGCCGGCUUCCGACUGACGCUGAAGCACGAAAGCGUGGGGAUCGAACAGGAUUAGAUACCCCUGUAGUC
rnacentral:rRNA from 1 species